rfam:Canis lupus familiaris chromosome X, whole genome shotgun sequence.
CGGGGGAGGCCGGAUCCUGGGCUGUGUCUGGGCGCCCUGUGCUCCGGGGCCUGCGCUGUUGGAUUCGCGCUCCCGGGCCGCGCAGCCCCCU